CCUACGGGGAGCAGCAGUGGGGAAUAUUGCACAAUGGGGGAAACCCUGAUGCAGCGACGCCGCGUGAGUGAAGAAGUAUCUCGGUAUGGAAAGCUCUAUCAGCAGGGAAGAAAAUGACGGUACCUGACUAAGAAGCCCCGGCUAACUACGUGCCCGCAGCCGCGGUAAUACGUAGGGGGCCAGCGUGAUCAGGAUUUACUGGGUGUAAAGGGAGCGUAGACGGCGCUGCAAGUCACAAGGGAAAGCCCGGGGCUUAACCCCGGAACGGCUUUGGAAACUGAGCAGCUAGAGUGCUGGAGAGGUAAGCGGAAUUCCUAGUGUAGCGGUGAAAUGCGUAGAGAUUAGGAGGAACACCAGUGGCGAAGGCGGCUUACUGGACAGUAACUGACGUUGAGGCUCGAAAGCGUGGGGAGCAAACAGGAUUAGAUACCCCGGUAGUC
rnacentral:rRNA from 1 species